GGUUGGUGUUUCUACAAAGGUACCCUUUAUAGCCCUGGUAUCCUUUCAGAUAAAAAGGUAUUUUGUGUACUGCUGUAAACUUGCUAACAAUUUCUGAAUGUUGGUAUACUCAUUCAAAGUCACAAUUUCUUUUUUUCUCAGUAAUUUAGCAGAGCCAAGGGUUUGUGUGGUAAGGGUGUUGUGGCAAAAUAAUUGUGAAACAAGAUGGCUUAGUAGGUGAAAUAUGUAAUAUCCGGUAGAUACAGCAUAGUGCUGGAGGUAAGUAGGAUGCAGGAAAUGCGUAUAAGGAUAGCAACAAUCACCUCCAACUUGUUAGCAUUGAUUACAUGAUUUAAUUCAUGUAUUUGAACUCUUUGAUAUGUAUGAAUAUGUUGUAGAGUACAAAUAAAUAACAUAUAACAAUCAUGAAAAUACUUCGUUUGUUUUUGAUUUUCCUAUAUUAGUAACUUUUGACAUUCCCGGUCUUCCGUACAUUAUAUUUUCUCUAUCUUAUAUAUAUCUGCACGUGAUCUUUAAAGUACUUCCGCCAUCUUGAAUUUAGAGUGACCUUCAUUUGCGGUGUGAAAAUAUAGUGAACAAAUGCUUUCAAAUGCAGCCGUUCCAUAGAACAAAACAGCUAGGUUUGCAAGACCCGAACGAAAAGUAGCUGUAUAAAAAGUAAUACUGAAAUUUGGAAAUAAACAAAGCAGAUAUUUUACCUGUAUUAUUUGAACUUUUGGGUUGCAUUUAAAGUUGAAAGUUGAUUGUUUUCUACAGGAUGUAAAACUUAAAGAAGUAAGCUCUUUUACUUUUUCAGCAAUGUCCCUCAGAUGAACUUUAACAUUGUUUACAAAGAGAAACCAAUUUUGUGUCAUCUUAAAAUGCGUUGUUCGACUGAAACGUAUAGUUCCAGGAAAAGUUCUAAAAUGGUUUAUUUUUGUGAUUUUUGUUUUAUUUAUAAAUUCAACACAAUGUGCAAUAUUUCAAGUUUUUGAAAAUGAUUAAAAUUGAACUUUAUUUUAGAAAAGGUUCUGAUCUUUCAUUAAUAUUUUGCCAGCGGAUGCUACAAAUUUUAUGUGAAACCGCCUUUUUGGCCAAGAGAGGUGUGUAAAGCGAAAAACUAUUAUUACACAUUGCGUUUAUUCUUUAAAUGUGAAGGAUCGGUAACAGAUUAAGGAGAUGGGACAGUGAAAAACUAUACUAAAUGGAUAUCUCUUACCGUGAAUAAGGAGACAUACAUAUUUCAGUAAGGAAAUCUGAGGUAAAAAAAACAAUCAUAUAUUUAAUUCCUUGAAAUAAACACGGCGGCGAAAUAUUUUAGAAAAUCUGCGCACGUGUUUUGCGCAUAAGAACGUUUAACGACAUUUUCUUGAAAAGAAAUGCUCGUGUGCACUAUUUUGACAUUUCCUUGAUUUGAAAAUAAUUAUUUUAUAGCAAUUAAGAUUGCAUACGAUACCAAAAUUUUGCACCAAAAAUGUUUACUCAUUUUCUUCCAAAGCACUGUGGAGAUAGGGUUCAGCGUAGCUUUCAUGCUCGCAAGUUUACCUACAGAUAUAUCUUUUCAACUUUUAUCAUAUAUUUUUGUGUCCUUGCUUUUUAAAAGCUGUUUCGAGGAUUCUGAUUUUUCACAUGAAUUUCUAACAAAGUUAAGGUACAUUAUUUGCUUGCUAUAGUAAAAUUGUUAAUAGUAAAAGUAAUGUAUUCAUACAACUGUCUUGGGUUGUUCUUUUUAGUAUUAUUAUUUCUGUGCCAAGCUAUCUUCAAUAAUGUUUUCUUUACAUCGUAGCUGCACGUACAUUGAGCCAUAGCCGACCUUUCAACAUGGAUGUGUUGGAUGUAGAUAUUGAUUGCAGCUGAUUUCGUGUACUUGAUCAUGUGUCUAACACACGAUUGAUUCUGCCUUUGUGACCACUGCAGACCAUGAUCAGCAUAUGCAUCUGUGCAGUCUGAUUUUUUUCCAUUCGGUCAGUAUCCUUUUGUUUUGUUUGCAAUUUUGCCUACAGUCAAUAAAUAAGUGAUCAUCCUUCGGGUAUUUAUUUUGGACAACUCAUUCAUUUCGUAAUGGAGAAUCCUGGCACACAAUUGUCUUAUUACGAUUGUCUUGAUAAACUAGGUUAUUCAAAGGAACGUUCAGAGAAAAGGGUUAAAAUAUAUGACAAUGGAGCCGAAUGUUUAACCAGGGUAACUAAUAGGAACUGGACGACGGAGUCCACAAUUAACAUUAUAGCUGGAAGCCGCGGGGAGGGAACAGCGGUUUCGUUAGGUAGUGACUUGGAUCUAAUAUUUGUUACACCAGUUGUUAAGUGUUUUGAAACAUAUACAUGUAUAUAUGUUAGGGACCCCGUUGCAACCUUUGAAUUGGUUAUGGAUUCUGUUCCUCACGGAUAUACAAAGUUACGUCUCAAAUAUCUGAAAGAAGACUUUAAAAAAGGUGAUAAAUAUUUCACCCUAACAGGUAGACUGAAAGAUGCAUUGACAAAAGAAGGUUAUUUGUCAAAUAAGAUUGAUAGCAGCAAUAGAGGAUGGUGGAGAGGAUAUGAAAAGACAAGGUUGGAUUUGUAGACGUUAUAAUUAUGACGAGAUAACAGGACCUGCGCGUCCGUUGCAGUACCUACUACCAUUUUCUGACAAGAAAUUGUCUGUUGACUAUGUUCCAGCUUUGCUAUGUUCGAUACCAACAUCAGAGUUGAACGCCUGGAGUGAACGAAAGAGGACAAAUGCUUGGCCAAGUAUUGAUACAGUGAAAGCAGUUAAAGAGUCAGAAGUGCUCGUUGUACCUGUAGGAUUAGAUGGAAGUGAAGAGCAGUCAUUGCAAUGGCGAGUAUCGUACACUCUGGCCGAGAGAACUCUAGUCCGUUCGUUCAAUGAUACCCAAAUAAAAGUGUACGUUGCUAUGAAAAUGAUGGUGAAAAACAAGCUGAAGGAGUUGUCUUCUCAAAUCGAUUCAUACGUAGUGAAAAAUGUGAUCUUCUGGGUGUUUGAAAAGUGGCCGGGUACCUUUGAGAGAAAAGAUUUCAAUGAAUUACUGUCAAAGGCACUGACGUAUCUACGCAAAUGUGUAGAUAGAAAAUGGCUUAAAAAUUACAUAACUCCCUCAAGAAAUCUGCUGCAGAGAAAACUGUUAGAGGCCGAAGAAAAAGAAGAAGCAAUAAGCGGCAUCGAUACUUUAUUACAUGCCGGCCUUGAAGCAUUACGUUGUUGUUCUUUGAUUGAGGACAUGUAUUCCUUAUCACAUGCUGAUUUGGAAGAACGAUUACAAUUCAGGCAACUUUCGGAAGAAUUGUUGCUGGCUGUCUUUUAACUUUUACUUACAUCUGAUAUAUUUUAGUACAAGCCAUUUCUAAAUGUUCUCAGGUCUAACCGAAUAAACAAGAUUCUGACUUUAUAGGCAUGUAUAGAACAGCAAAAACUAAAUUAUUUUUGAAGGUAUCUAUAUUAGAUUUUUAACAUUUAUAGCCGCAUGUGUCUCAGAACAAAUUACUUAAGUAAAUUCAAGAUAUGGUAUCCAGGAUUUAUUCCAGCUCAUUAUGUACAUUCAUUGACUUUAGACUUGAUUAAAAUAUCCGUCUGAUGAUACAGUGGUUACUUUGAUACAUGAUAUGACUAGCAGUAAGGGAUAACUUCAGAAAAUAAACGAUAACAUUUUUCUGAAACGGGAAGUGAAUUAGAAGACAGUAUUGUCUUCCAAAACCCUGUACGUAAAUCUAAAUUAAAGAAAAAACAAGUAAAAAGCAAAAAUGCCAAAAGAUCAAAAGAUAAUAGGUAAGGGUAGACUUCUCGGAAACACAGAGCACUAAAACACAACCCCAGAGCCACGCAUUUGCAAAGUAGGCCCGCAACAAAAAGAAGCUGUGAUGGAAAAUAUUUCAGACGGGUUGCUUCAAACAUCCAACAAGUACAUAUUCAUUUAUGCUAUAGAAGGGGAAGGAAAUGGUAUGGGGAACAUGGGGCCGGGUUGGGAGGGAGUGAACCCGAAGGUAAAAGUUGAACAAGGGCGCAUAAGCAAAGGGAAAGUCACGUUCCUUAAUAACAGUCCUACUACAACGUAAACCACAAUAGCGCAAACACUCAUGUACCAAAGAUACACACACAUCCACACACAACUAAAUAACAUAGAAAAACGAACAAGCAACAAAUAAGAAAAUAGUAGGGCACCGUUUUAGACUCAUAAGCAUACACACGCACCCACACAAGUAGGAAAAAAAGAUCGUAUCCAUCUUAGGAUUCCGGCAGCAAAAACAAAGGGGAGCCAUAAAAACUUACAUAAAGUGGGAGGGUAGGCAAAAAGUAGCGUAAUUGCAAGGGGAAAAACAUACCUGAAACAAAGGAAACACAUAAAAAACAUGUUUACUCUCCAAAGAGCCAUCGCAAAUACUAGACAGUAAAAUAAUGGCAAACAAUAAAUUAAGGCCUGUUGUAACAAAACAUGACAGAAGUUUUAUAAAAAACAAAACAUCAUGCAUUGAGGAAAUGAAAGGUAAAAUAUUAGGAUCUGUUGUCCACAGAACUGAAAUCUUGGAGGCCAAAACCAACGAAAAGGGCAUUAACAUCGACCGCUUACAGAAAGAAGUAGAAAAUCAAAAGAAAAUAAAUAAAACACCUGAACAACAAAAUGAAAGACUUCAGUCAGGUUACUGUCACGAAAUCAAUCAUAUUAUAGAACGCUUGAGUAACCCGGAACAAUACGGCAGACGAAACAACAUCCGCAUUACAAGCAUCGCUCACGACUCUGACAAACACACAUCGGAACAAACUACUAAACACGUGCUUGAUAUGUUUAAACUGAGACUAAACCUAAAUAUAUAACAGGACAUUGACAUCGCUUACAGAAUUUGAAGUUCUGAUGCCAGUAAAAACAUCCCGAUCAUCGUACGGUUUGUUCAGAGACAGGUCAAAAUGGAUAUUAUGAAACACACUCAUCUACUACUCUUAGGAAAAUGAAGUGUAAGAUUUAUAUGAACGAAGACUUGACUACCCUUAUUCCUUAACAACAACGUAUUACUUCGAUUCGACGCAAGGCUCCUGAUCAAGUCAUUAAAAGUUUGUCCUUAAAGGGAAAAUUGUUUGCACAUUUCAAAGGGGAGACAAACAACGGUUCGAACGAUAAAAAUUCCGAGGACACAUCAUUUGUUAAACAAAUAAAUUACAAAAAUUACAUGCACUGGUUGAAUCUUCCAUGGCCAGAAAGUAACACCGAUGUGAAACUAAGCUACAGUGACAAAGUAAAAAGAAAUGCGCGCACGUGCACGCACCGAGAUCCGACCUUCCUGCUGCGGAUAUCAAUAUUAUUUUUGUCACAUAUUCUGUUAGUCGUCAGAAAUGAUUAGAGAAUUCAAUUUUCCUCAGAUGUUCAACGUCUUUUUGUAGUUCUCUUAAACACACCUAGGAUAAAAAUAUGAUUUUAAUCGGACUCUUUUUUUUUCAGCAGACGCUUGCAUAGCAAAGAACGCGAGCAUGGGCGCCCACCGGGUUUCGUGUUUGUAUAUAAAUAGAAUACUUAGACAAAAACACUGUAAUACGGUUCAAGGAACUAUUUUACUUGUAUUUUGGAUUACACAUUCUAACCAUUUCAGAUACAUUAUAAACAUACAUAUAUAUUACAUACAUCAUGAAGGCAAAUGAUCUACUAGUAGACAGAAAAUUUAAGGGAGGUAACAAGUAAAAGUAUUGGUAAAAACCUUGACUGUAUUUUCUCCCAUAACUGUCCAUAAAGUUAUCCCUCGCAUUUCAAUAUGUAUACGUGUGCGUUUAUAUCUUUAGAAGGGAGUCGUUAUUAAAUGGAUUUAACUCGUUUGGUUGCUUAUAAACUUUUGAAGAAGACAACAUGAUUUCAUUUCUCAGUUUCGUUUUUCGGGGGAAAAAUUCCAUAGUUUUUUCUCCAUAAUCACAUCCUAGCACCAAUUUCAGUCUAAAAGGCAAUGGACAUUUUAAAAGAAUUAUUUUGGUCUGGGUAUGAUAUACGUAAAUGUACACCAAACAAUAGAUAUUCAUUAUGUAUCAUUGAUAUCUGUUGUUUAUGUUUUCAUUGUAAUGUUAAGAUACACUCUGUAUAUAUACGAUUUUUAGUUCUUUUAAAACAAUCCAAAUAACAAGAGUCAUUAUUUUAUAAUGCUGAACUAUCUUUUUGUAGACACCUUUCCUUAAGUUCUGUUGUUAGUGUAGCAGUUUUAGCGUAACACGACACUCGGCGCUGUCAAUUUUAAAGGUGUAUGUUUAUAAUAUACCUGCUAAUGAUUUACCGUAGGGCAAAAAGGGUCUUAAAGGCUAUCUAUAAAUAUGUAGUCCACCUCAUGGUUGUUGAAACUGUUGUUUUCUCUUAAACUAAAAUUAAAUAUUUUGAGGUAUUUCGAUUAUAUAAACUUACUAAUUGACCAAUCGUAAUUCGUUUCAGUUUCUUUCUAUGUUCAUUAUGAAAUACAGGAAAACUACAUUAAUGCAAUAUUUAUAAGAUUAUAUUUAUUGUUCGUUGUAAUGUAUAUAUACAUACUAAUAUUGACUAACCGUUAUUCGUUUCAUUUUUUUUAUGUUGUUGUUAUGAAAUACAGGUAAAUUAGAUUAAUGCAAUAUGUAUGUCGCAAAGCUUCAACUUUGAAGAUUAUGUUUAUUGUUAGUUGUAGUAUAUAUAUUCAUUUUUAUGUCGUUGUUUUGAAGCACAGGAAAAUUACAGUAACGCAAAAUGUAUGUCGCAAAGCAGCAAUCGUUAUCCGUUCCAAUUCUGCUAUGUUGUUGUUAUGAAAUACAGGUACUUUGAAGAUUAUGGUUACUGUUAGUUAUAGUACACAUAUGCACCUGUUAUCAUGUUUAGAGUUUCUGACGGUCUGAAUACGUUUUAAAGAUACACAUAGACAUGAUCCAAAUGUUUUUCUCUAUCGAAAAUGUUUCUAUCAGUUCUUUCUUUUCUUCCUUUUCUAAGGUCUCCUGGAAAUAAUAUUCUCUGCUUAAAAGUCAGACAGCAUUGGAUAUUGACAAAAAUGAAUUAGUGCUCAGCCGAUCUCUUAUGUUACUACUAAAAUAUGUUCUUUGAAUACUAAUGGACUCGGGGAAUUAAAAGCAUGUCGGGUAAAGCGCAUAACAAAUGCUCAAAAUAAAGGUUUCUGGAAAGAUAUAUACAAUAGUAUAUAUUAAUAGUUGUAGGAAGUGUGUCAAAAGAAAUCAUAUUGAACAACUCUUUUAUCAAAAAUGAAAAUAAAACCACGUACUAUAAUGAAUGAUUUACAGUUAGAGUUAAAAACAUUAAAAAUAUGUAUGACUUUAGAAAAAAGACACUUUUUAGUCAUUUGUAACAGUUCAAAAAGGAUUAAUCUAAACAAUUCAUAAUUCCUUAAUGAUCAUACGAUCAUCUCUAAUAUUCCAAGAAAAUGGAAGGAAAAGCUAAAAAUGAAAAUCAAUAUGAUGAGGCAGAAAAAUUUGCAACUAUUCAGAAAGUGAAAAAAACAAAUAAAUUACUAUUAUAUAUAUAAACAAUAGCAGAGAAAACAAAACAAAAUGACAAUAAAUAAAUCUGAAACUAAAUCGAAUAGUGUCUAUGAAAAUUUGAAUUGGAGAAUGAUAUAAAGUGCGACUUUUUCUAGUUGUAUAGACUAAACAUUAAGGGUUUUCCGCUAUAAAUAUCUCAAAAGGAUUGUAGCAACAAAUCAGUUUCUGCAUAAAUGCAAAAUAAUCGUGAGUUUUGUAACAUGGAGAUAGAAAACUUAAAUCGUCUUUUUUGGGAGUCCCAAAAUCUUGCAAGAUUUUUGGUCAAAUAUCAAAUAAUUCUUAAGUAACAAAGGUAUAGAAUACACAUCAAACUUCCAAAAUGUUUCAUUUGCUUUUCAAACCAAAUCUCCAACUCAACAGAUAAUAAAUUACAUCAUAAUUUAAAAGCACAUAGCAUUAAAAAAAUAAAACAAGGUAUAACAAAAAGUGAGAUCGGCUACCUCUAUAAAUUUCGACAUUCCAAGAUUUUUGAGAUCUAAAUGAAGGAUACAUUUACUUUCUUUUGACCAUUUUAUUUACCCUUUUUCUUGAAUUAUCACUUUUCAACUCUAUCUUACUUUUUGUCGCCUUUAGACUCUUAUCACAUAACAAAAACGUCAUACUGCCCAAUAUAUUGAAUUACGUACUGACAAUUUGAAUGUUUUUUUUUCAUUAUUAUUUUCUCUCUGUUCAUUGACUUAUUCAGAAGUAUAUAUCUCUAUAUUUAUAUAAUUAUGUUAUGUGUGUGUUAAAUUUUGAAUAAACGGACUAUUUUCUUUGUAAAUAAACAAAACGAUUAGCAGUAACAGUGAUAAUUAUACAUAAGCCGUUAUGUAUUUUUUAUGAAGUUUGGUCUGACCAUUAGACCUGAAAACAAAAUCAGAUGAGAUUGUAAAUAUGUUUAUAGCCGUUAUAGUGGACGCAACUUGACCCCGAUGGUUGACCUUUUAUUAUGAUACAUAAUGAGGCACUACCUAUUAUUGAAUAGGACUGUACGUAACACGCUUCAUUUCUUUGCAUUCAUAAAUUUAAAAAUAUACAAACCAAUACCAUAUAAAAAUACACGGCUACCUUAAGCACCCCUUAUUUCUUCAAUGAAAUAAUCGAUAUGAAUAAUCAGCCUAAAGUCAUCCAUCGCGGUCAAGUUGCAACUACUAUAUUCUAAUUAAAACUGAGACACAUUUAUAUUAGAUAUUAUUAAACAAGAAAUGUAUAACAAAAUUUAUUACACAAA